rnacentral:rRNA from 1 species
UGGAUUAGUGGCGAACGGGUGAGUAACACGUGGGCAAUCUGCCCUUCACUCUGGGACAAGCCCUGGAAACGGGGUCUAAUACCGGAUAACACUCUGUCCUGCAUGGGACGGGGUUAAAAGCUCCGGCGGUGAAGGAUGAGCCCGCGGCCUAUCAGCUUGUUGGUGGGGUAAUGGCCUACCAAGGCGACGACGGGUAGCCGGCCUGAGAGGGCGACCGGCCACACUGGGACUGAGACACGGCCCAGACUCCUACGGGAGGCAGCAGUGGGGAAUAUUGCACAAUGGGCGAAAGCCUGAUGCAGCGACGCCGCGUGAGGGAUGACGGCCUUCGGGUUGUAAACCUCUUUCAGCAGGGAAGAAGCGAAAGUGACGGUACCUGCAGAAGAAGCGCCGGCUAACUACGUGCCAGCAGCCGCGGUAAUACGUAGGGCGCAAGCGUUGUCCGGAAUUAUUGGGCGUAAAGAGCUCGUAGGCGGCUUGUCACGUCGGAUGUGAAAGCCCGGGGCUUAACCCCGGGUCUGCAUUCGAUACGGGCUAGCUAGAGUGUGGUAGGGGAGAUCGGAAUUCCUGGUGUAGCGGUGAAAUGCGCAGAUAUCAGGAGGAACACCGGUGGCGAAGGCGGAUCUCUGGGCCAUUACUGACGCUGAGGAGCGAAAGCGUGGGGAGCGAACAGGAUUAGAUACCCUGGUAGUCCACGCCG